CUCCAGAGAAUAUAAGGCAAAAGAAGGCAAGAAUGAGUGAGUAAAUGUCUGUCUUUGGAGUGCCGCUGAAACGUCUAGAAAAGUGUCCAAUGGGUUUGGUGACAUGGAGAUCAUUGGCCACCUUGACAAGGACAGUUUCAGUAGGGGUGGGCUUAGGAGGAUGAAGUGGUGCCUUGAGAAUCUAUUGGGAGGGAGGAAGUGGAGACAGCACCGAAGAUAAGUCUUGAGAGGAUUUACUGGGAAGGGUUGAGAAGGGCUGGGCAGAUGUGUGGAGAGGAAAUGUUUUGAUUUAUUUUAUUUCAACAGGGAGCAACUAUAGUGGGAAUUUUCUGUUAGAAAGUGGGAGCUUGAUGAUGCAGGAGAGGUGGAAGAAGACUGAAGGAGUGAAGUCCUUGAGAAGUGGUCAGUUAUUUUCCAGAAGUGCAGUUUUGAUAUGUGGUCACUCCAUUUUGUACAACGCUUCAAUGUCUCUUGCUGGCUACUCAGAAUCCUGGUGCUUUGCUAGCAAGCUGACCUUGGCACUGGAUCUCCUAUCCAAGAACUUGCAUCUACAGAUGGACUUGGUACCCAGCUUUGUGAUAGAAGCCAUGGAGAUAAAUCUAAUUACCUGGAGCUCAAAGGGACUUUGGAAAGGCCUAAAAUCUUCAUUUGUCUUUGAGGUCAUCGUUUGCUAAACUUCAUGGAUGUUAAUUAUUUUUUGGCAGGCAAGAAAUACCAAAGAAUUUGGGAUCCUCUUAAGAAGACAUUGCUUUAUAUUUCAUAAUAUCCCUUAAGUGACUUGUGCAUGACAGGUGCUCAGUAAAUUCUUUCCAAUAGAUUGAAAUAAAUUCUGAACAGUUUGAGUUUGAUAUUUAUAUUUGGCUUAUCAAAUCAUCAUCCCAGAGGCAAAAAUAACUAGAAGGGGGAUGAUCUGAAGUAAAGCUGGACCAAAUUAAUAUUAAAUUAAAUUAAAUUAAAAUGUUGGGAGGUUGACCAUUAUAGAAAAUCCUUUGUAAGUCUAUACUAGUAUCUCAAUAAAUAUUCUAUGGACUAAAAUGUUGAGCUUGUUACAAGAGAAUGAAUGAUACAAACAUUUUUUCAUGUGAAAACAUUCUGCCUAUGGCACCUGGAAGAAUUUAGGGCAUAGUCACACCCAGGAAUUUCAGGCUAAUGAG
rnacentral:lncRNA from 1 species